CUAAGUGCAUGUGGUGGAUGCCUUGGCGAUCACAGGCGAUGAAGGACGUGCAAGCCUGCGAAAAGCGGGGGGGAGCUGGCAAUGAAGCUUUGAUCCCCCGAUAUCCGAAUGGGGAAACCCACCUCUUUUGAGGUAUCCCAUACUGAAUACAUAGGUAUGGGAGGCGAACCCGGUGAACUGAACAUCUAAGUAGCCGGAGGAAAAGAAAAUCAACCGAGAUUCCCCAAGUAGUGGCGAGCGAACGGGGAAGAGCCUGCUAGUGAUAGCGGAACUGUUAGAAGAACGGAAUGGAAAGUCCGGCCGUAGUGGGUGAUAGCCCCGUAUUCGAAAACAGCUCCGUGGUACUAAGUUAGCGAAAAGUAGGGCGGGGCACGUGAAACCUUGUCUGAACAUGGGGGGACCAGUCCUCCAAGGCUAAAUACUCGUGAUCGACCGAUAGUGAACCAGUACCGUGAGGGAAAGGCG
rnacentral:rRNA from 1 species